UGCUGCUGCCUUUCUUUAUAUAAAGAAGCCUUCUUGAUCCUACAAUCAUUCCAUCCUUUGGAAGUUGAUUAUUAGGUUGAGUUUGAAGCCUAAGGCGCUUUUAAGCCCUUUCUUUUCCAUUUCUCGGGAUGGGAACUAGAACUCUAGAAUCUAGUUGUUAGCUUACUCUUACGCGUAUGACAUCUUCGUUUUUCUAUUAGCUACUUAUCGAAGAACAAGCAAGAUCUAGAUUUCCUUUAAUACAAAGAGGAAAUAGCGUAUAGAAAGAGAAAGUCAGAGUAAUCGGCCUUAUAUAACCAAUUGGAAGUUGGAUCGGAAUAGAGCUCUCGAUUAGCCGAUUUCUUUCCUUGUGAUUCUAGUUCUGAUCAUAUCCCAUAGAAAGCCUAGCGUGGGAUACGUACACCCAAAAGCAGAUACACAAACAAAGUCAAGCCGAAAAUAAGGAUGCGGAGCGGUAAACGGCCACUAAAGAUAAGAGUGCUUAUUUGGAGUACGGAACCUGAUCGAAGGAGUUGAAAGAGCUCUCGCUUACCAGGUAUCCCGCCUGGGCAAGACUAAAGGCAAAAUCCUUAUUCAAAGGCAAAGCAAAGAAAAAAAUCAAAGAAAGAUGGAACUAGAUACAUUCAACAAAGAAAGUGCUUUAUACGUUAGUGAUUGAAUUUUGCUUUCUACACUGCUUUCCGUUGGAAAAGAACCAACAAAAGUUCUCUAUACUUCUUCACUACUCGUACAAGCUUGACGGAGUUAAGCUGUCUGGAGGGAAUAAUUUCUUCUUAAACAAGAAUGCCUCAACUAGAUAAAUUCACUUAUUUCACACAAUUCUUCUGGUCAUGCCUUUUACUCUUUACUUUCUAUAUUGCCAUAUGCAAUGAUGGAGAUGGAGUACUUGGGAUCAGCAGAAUUCUAAAACUACGGAACCAACUGGUUUCACACCGGGAGAACAACAUCCGGAGCAACGACCCCAACAGUUUGGAAGAUAUCUUGAGAAAAGGUUUUAGCACCGGUGUAUCCUAUAUGUACUCCAGUUUAUUCGAAGUAUCCCAAUGGUGUAACGCCGUCGACUUAUUGGGAAAAAGGAAGAAGAUCACUUUGAUCUCUUGUUUCGGAGAAAUAAGUGGCUCACGAGGAAUGGAAAGAAAUAUAUUCUAUUUGAUUACGAAGUCCUCAUAUAGCACUUCUUCCAAUCCUGGAUGGGGGAUCACUUGUAGGAAUGACAUAAUGCUAAUGCAUGUUCUACACGGCCAAGGAAGCAUCGCGAGACCAGAGAGAUCAACCUGCACCUUUGAUUUUAGGCCGCUGUCGGCGUAGAAUGAACUAAUCCGCGACCAGCAAAGGCAUUCUUAUCAUUUGGUAGAUCCAAGUCCAUGGCCUAUUUCGGGCUCACUCGGAGCUUUGGCAACAACCGUAGGAGGUGUGAUGUGCAUGCACUCAUUUCAAGGGGGUGCAACACUUCUCAGUUUGGGCCUCAUAUUUAUCCUAUAUACCAUGUUCGUAUGGUGGCACGAUGUUCUACGUGAAUCCACGUUGGAAGGACAUCAUACCAAAGUCGUAGAAUUAGGACCUCGAUAUGGUUUUAUUCUUUUUAUUGUAUCGGAGGUUAUGUUCUUUUUUGCUUUUUUUUCGGGCUUCUUCUCAUUCUUCUUUGGCACCUACGAUAGAGAUCGAAGAUAUUUGGCCCCCAAAAGGUAUUGGGGUUUUAGAUCCUUGGGAAAUCCCUUUUCUUAAUACCCUUAUUCCCCUUUCAUCCGGAGCUGCCAUAACUUGGGCUCAUCAUGCUAUACUCGCGGGGAAGGAAAAACGAGCAGUUUACGCUUUAGUAGCUACCGUUUUACUGGCCCUAGUAUUCACUGGCUUUCAAGGAAUGGAAUAUUAUCAAGCACCCUCCACUAUUUCGGAUAGUAUUUAUAGUUCUACCUUUUUCUUAGCAACUGGCUUUCAUGGUUUUCAUGUGAUUAUAGGUACUCUUUUCUCGAUCAUAUGUGGUAUUGGCCAAUAUCUUGGUCAUCUGACCAAGGAGCAUCACGUUGGCUUUGAAGCAGCUGCAUGGUACUGGCAUUUUGUAGACGUGGUUCGGUUAUUCCCAUUUGUCUCUAUCUAUUGGUGGGGAGGUAUAUGAAGGAACGAAUCAGUGGAUUGAGGAAUGAAAGCUCGAAGACAAAGAGAACCGGGCUUUUCCAAAGAAUUACUGCAGCUUUCCCACUCCCUUUGAUUAUCAUAUACAAAAAAGUGUCUUCCACUUUCCUACCAAAUCUCUCUCUAUUCCGGCACAUAAAUGAAGGGAUCGAAGAGAUUAUGGCAGAUCAUGUUCACCAAGAAAUGACUCGAAAUUGGAUCUUGGUCUAUUUCAGAUUGUUCCUUUUAAUCGUAAUCAAAGAUGUUUUCUUGUCUCUCGUUUCUUUUCUGAACAAAUCGAAGAACCUAAUGGAUCGAACU